UUAAGUGACUAAGCGUACACGGUGGAUGCCUAGGCAGUCAGAGGCGAUGAAGGGCGUGCUAAUCUGCGAUAAGCGUCGGUAAGGUGAUAUGAACCGUAAUAACCGGCGAUACCCGAAUGGGGAAACCCAGUGCAAUUCGUUGCACUAUCAUACGAUGAAUACAUAGUCGUAUGAGGCGAACCGGGGGAACUGAAACAUCUAAGUACCCCGAGGAAAAGAAAUCAACCGAGAUUCCCCCAGUAGCGGCGAGCGAACGGGGAGGAGCCCAGAACCUGAAUCAGUUCUUGUGUUAGUGGAAGCGUCUGGAAAGUCGCACAGUAAAGGGUGAUAGUCCCGUACACUAAAAUGCAUUAAUUGUGAGUUCGAUGAGUAGGGCGGGACACGUGACAUCCUGUCUGAAUAUGGGGGGACCAUCCUCCAAGGCUAAAUACUCCUGACUGACCGAUAGUGAACCAGUACCGUGAGGGAAAGGCGAAAAGAACCCCGGCGAGGGGAGUGAAAUAGAACCUGAAACCGUGUACGUACAAGCAGUGGGAGCACCUUCGUGGUGUGACUGCGUACCUUUUGUAUAAUGGGUCAGCGACUUAUAUUUUGUAGCAAGGUUAACCGUAUAGGGGAGCCGUAGGGAAACCGAGUCUUAACUGGGCGAAUAGUUGCAAGGUAUAGACCCGAAACCCGGUGAUCUAGCCAUGGGCAGGUUGAAGGUUGGGUAACACUAACUGGAGGACCGAACCGACUAAUGUUGAAAAAUUAGCGGAUGACUUGUGGCUGGGGGUGAAAGGCCAAUCAAACCGGGAGAUAGCUGGUUCUCCCCGAAAGCUAUUUAGGUAGCGCCUCGUGAACUCAUCUUCGGGGGUAGAGCACUGUUUCGGCUAGGGGGCCAUCCCGGCUUACCAAACCGAUGCAAACUCCGAAUACCGAAGAAUGUUAUCACGGGAGACACACGGCGGGUGCUAACGUCCGUCGUGAAGAGGGAAACAACCCAGACCGCCAGCUAAGGUCCCAAAGUCAUGGUUAAGUGGGAAACGAUGUGGGAAGGCAUAGACAGCCAGGAUGUUGGCUUAGAAGCAGCCAUCAUUUAAAGAAAGCGUAAUAGCUCACUGGUCGAGUCGGCCUGCGCGGAAGAUGUAACGGGGCUAAACCAUGCACCGAAGCUGCGGCAGCGACGCUUAGGCGUUGUUGGGUAGGGGAGCGUUCUGUAAGCCGUUGAAGGUGGCCUGUGAGGGCUGCUGGAGGUAUCAGAAGUGCGAAUGCUGACAUAAGUAACGAUAAAGCGGGUGAAAAGCCCGCUCGCCGGAAGACCAAGGGUUCCUGUCCAACGUUAAUCGGGGCAGGGUGAGUCGACCCCUAAGGCNAACCCUGAGGCGUGAUGACGAUGCACUACGGUGCAGAAGUAGUUGAUGCCAAGCUUCCAGGAAAAGCCUCUAAGCAUCAGGUAACACAGAAUCGUACCCCAAACCGACACAGGUGGUCAGGUAGAGAAUACCAAGGCGCUUGAGAGAACUCGGGUGAAGGAACUAGGCAAAAUGGUGCCGUAACUUCGGGAGAAGGCACGCUGGCGCGUAGGUGAAGAGACUUGCUCUCGGAGCUGAAGCCAGUCGCAGAUACCAGCUGGCUGCAACUGUUUAAUAAAAACACAGCACUGUGCAAACACGAAAGUGGACGUAUACGGUGUGACGCCUGCCCGGUGCUGGAAGGUUAAUUGAUGGGGUCAGCCGCAAGGCGAAGCUCUUGAUCGAAGCCCCAGUAAACGGCGGCCGUAACUAUAACGGUCCUAAGGUAGCGAAAUUCCUUGUCGGGUAAGUUCCGACCUGCACGAAUGGCGUAAUGAUGGCCAGGCUGUCUCCACCCGAGACUCAGUGAAAUUGAACUCGCUGUGAAGAUGCAGUGUACCCGCGGCAAGACGGAAAGACCCCGUGAACCUUUACUAUAGCUUGACACUGAACAUUGAGCCUUGAUGUGUAGGAUAGGUGGGAGGCUUUGAAGCGUGGACGCCAGUCUGCGUGGAGCCAACCUUGAAAUACCACCCUUUAAUGUUUGAUGUUCUAACUCGGCCCCGUGAUCCGGGGUGAGGACAGUGUCUGGUGGGUAGUUUGACUGGGGCGGUCUCCUCCCAAAGAGUAACGGAGGAGCACGAAGGUUAGCUAAUCACGGUCGGACAUCGUGAGGUUAGUGCAAAGGCAUAAGCUAGCUUGACUGCGAGAGUGACGGCUCGAGCAGGUACGAAAGUAGGUCUUAGUGAUCCGGUGGUUCUGAAUGGAAGGGCCAUCGCUCAACGGAUAAAAGGUACUCCGGGGAUAACAGGCUGAUACCGCCCAAGAGUUCAUAUCGACGGCGGUGUUUGGCACCUCGAUGUCGGCUCAUCACAUCCUGGGGCUGAAGUAGGUCCCAAGGGUAUGGCUGUUCGCCAUUUAAAGUGGUACGCGAGCUGGGUUUAGAACGUCGUGAGACAGUUCGGUCCCUAUCUGCCGUGGGCGUUGGAAGAUUGAGAGGGGUUGCUCCUAGUACGAGAGGACCGGAGUGAACGCACCACUGGUGUUCGGGUUGUCAUGCCAAUGGCACUGCCCGGUAGCUAAGUGCGGAAAAGAUAAGCGCUGAAAGCAUCUAAGCGCGAAACUUGCCUCGAGAUGAGUCUUCCCUGGGCCUUUAAGGCCCCUGAAGGAACGUUUAAGACUAAGACGUUGAUAGGCUGGGUGUGUAAGUGCAGCGAUGCAUUGAGCUAACCAGUACUAAUGAUCCGUGAGGCUUAACCUU
rnacentral:rRNA from 1 species